AUUGAACGCUGGCGGCAGGCCUAACACAUGCAAGUCGAGCGGGGUUUUCGGACCUAGCGGCGGACGGGUGAGUAAUGCGUAGGAAGCUACCCGAUAGAGGGGGAUACCAGUUGGAAACGACUGUUAAUACCGCAUAAUGUCUACGGACCAAAGUGUGGGACCUUCGGGCCACAUGCUAUCGGAUGCGCCUACGUGGGAUUAGCUAGUUGGUGGGGUAAUGGCUCACCAAGGCGACGAUCCCUAGCGGGUUUGAGAGGAUGAUCAGCCACACUGGAACGGAGACACGGUCCGUGCUCCAACGGGGGGCAUCAGUGGGGAAUAUUGGACAAUGGGCGCAAGCCUGAUCCAGCCAUGCAGGGUGUGGGAAGAAGGCCUUCGGGUUGUAAAGCACUUUCAGUAGGGAGGAAGGGUGUUGUGUUAAUAGCACAGCAUUUUGACGUUACCUACAGAAGAAGCACCGGCUAACUCUGUGCCAGCAGCCGCCGUAAAAC
rnacentral:rRNA from 1 species